rnacentral:rRNA from 1 species
CUACGGGGUACACCAGUGAGGAAUAUUGCACAAUGGGGGGAACCCUGAUGCAGCAACGCCGCGUGGAGGAUGACGCAUUUCGGUGUGUAAACUCCCUUUAUAUGUCAAGAAAAUGACGGUAGCAUAUGAAUAAGCACCGGCUAACUCCGUGCCAGCAGCCGCGGUAAUACGGAGGGUGCAAGCGUUACUCGGAAUCACUGGGCGUAAAGGACGCGUAGGCGGGUUGGAAAGUCAGGUGUGAAAUCCUACAGCUUAACUGUAGAACUGCACUUGAAACUUCUAAUCUAGAGUAUGGGAGGGGGAGAUGGAAUUAGUGGUGUAGGGGUAAAAUCCGUAGAUAUCACUAGGAAUACCUAAAGCGAAGGCGAUCUCCUGGAACAUUACUGACGCUAAGGCGUGAAAGCGUGGGGAGCAAACAGAAUUAGAUACCCCGGUAGUC